rnacentral:rRNA from 1 species
AGAUUAAGCCAUGCAUGUCUAAGUAUGAAUAUCUCUAUACUGUGAAACUGCGAAUGGCUCAUUAAAUCAGUUAUAGUUUACUUGAUGGUAACCUUACUCGGAUAACUGUACCAAUUGUAGAGCUAAUACGUGCACCAAGUCCCGACUUCUGGAAGGGAUGUAUUUAUUAGAUACAAAGCCAAUGCGGGCUUCGGCCCGGUACAGUGGCGAGUCAUGAUAACUGCUCGAAUCGCAUGGCCUAAGCGCCGGCGAUGGUUCAUUCAAAUUUCUGCCCUAUCAACUUUCGAUGGUAGGGUAUUGGCCUACCAUGGUUACAACGGGUAACGGAGAAUUAGGGUUCGAUUCCGGAGAGGGAGCCUGAGAAACGGCUACCACAUCCAAGGAAGGCAGCAGGCGCGCAAAUUACCCAAUCCCGACUCGGGGAGGUAGUGACAAUAAAUAACAAUGCUGGGCUAUUUUGGUCUGGCAAUUGGAAUGAGAACAAUAUAAAUCCCUUAACGAGGAACAAUUGGAGGGCAAGUCUGGUGCCAGCAGCCGCGGUAAUUCCAGCUCCAAUAGCGUAUAUUAAAGUUGUUGCAGUUAAAAAGCUCGUAGUUGGGUUUCGGAGCGGUCAGGCUGGUCCGCCGAGAGGCGAGUACUGGCCGGCCGCUCUUCCUCUCGGAGUCCCUGUCUGCUCUUUGUUGCAGUGGGCAGGGAAUUCGGGACGUUUACUUUGAAAAAAUUAGAGUGUUCAAAGCAGGCGAUUGCUUGAAUACAUUAGCAUGGAAUAAUGGAAUAGGACCUCGGUCCUAUUUC